AUGGCAAUGGCGCCUCCGCCCGUGCCGAACCUGCCACUGGGCUACGUGUUCAGACCCAAGGCCCGGGAGCUCAUCCAGCACUACCUCGCCCCCAAGGCGCUGGGCGGCUACUUCACCCCGGGCUUGGUGGCGGAGGGCGUGGACGUCUUCUCCGCGGCCCCGGACGCGCUCCCCUUCAGCCGCGGCCACCGGCGGGAGAACGGCGAGGUGUGGGGCUACUUCUUCGCGGCGCACCCCGCCGGGGAGAGGGCCCCGGCGCCGGGCGGGUGCUGGAUCACGUACGGCCCCGAGAAGGCGUACCGCGGCGGGACCGGCGGGGAGGCGGUCGCCUUCAGGCGCAACCUCGCGUACUACGUCGCGUGGCGGGGCGGCGAGGGCGGCGGCGACGGGGUAUGGGCGCGGACGCCGUGGCUGAUGGCGGAGUACCGGCUCAACAAGGGCGGCGCCGCCUUCCGCUGCGCGCGGCCCGGCCCCGAGGCGAACAUGGACUGUGUGGUCCGCAAGGUCUUCAUGAAGCCGGCGGUCCCUCCGCCGCCUGCCCGCUCCAGCGACGACGAGAGCGCGGGCUCCAGCUCCAGGUACCGCAGCGCGGACGAGGAAGCCGGCUACCCCGGCGAGGAGCAGGCGAGGAAGCGCGCUCGAUGGGUCUAG
rnacentral:rRNA from 1 species